rnacentral:lncRNA from 1 species
UCAGAAUGAGGUACACAGGAGAUGCCACAGAUCUUCCAUGCAACUCCACCGACAUCCAUCCUCUCCCCAGCUUCCCAUGGUGGCAGCAUGACACAGCAAGGCUGGGUUGAGUAGGCCUUGGAUGCCUAGAGAGGGUCUGGACAAAGGGUAUUUGGGUGUGUCUGUGUGGCUAAGAAAAACUGUGUUUUUAAUCUGUACAUUUAUUAGUCAUGUUAUCUCAAACUACUGAUAUUUACAAAAUUACGUUUGCCUUAAUUAUCUGCAGAAUUUAAAAUGAAGGAUAGUGGAAAGCAUUUAAUGAGCAUAUAUCAUGGUACAGAUAAGUGUCCAAACCUUUUGAAAUAAGUAAAUAAUAGAUAUGAGAUGACAUGGAUGGAGAGCAUUUGGGGAAGGAAAAGGGAAGCUAGCUGAAAAGGAAUCCUUCACAAAAUUUGGAGGACUUGGGAAUUAAAUCUGUACUCAAUUAUGUCUCUACAGGGGCUGUGGCUGUGGCUCUGCAGUAGCACACUUGCCUAUCAUGUGUGAGGCCCUGAGUUGAUUCUCAACACCACAGAC